ACAGAAAAAAGUUUGCCAACUCUAUCUAGUGAGAUGAGGAAGAUUCAAGAAGGAAACAAUAAGAGAACAUCCGAUUUAAGCUUCAUCUUAGAGGAUGUGUUGGUGUUUACCAGAUAGACAAAUGGGAAAGGCAUCCUGGAUGGAGGGAAGGGCAUGGGCAGAGGCGUGGAGCUCUGGAGCACAGGGCAUUUUGUGCAGAAGUGGGGAGCCAGAGGUGUGGAAAGGAACAAUGGGACUUGAAUACUAUCCUGAGGUGAUUUCCUUAUUUUUGGUCAAAGACACCAUUAAAGUUGAUAAAGCACGAUCAGAUAUUUUUGGGGGAGAGUAAAUGCAACAGUAUGGAAGAGAGUAUGGAGGUGAAAAUGUGAAGGGGAUGGCCAGGUGGAUUUUGAUGAAUUCAUGACAAUUCUUGGCCCCAAACUGGUGUCUUCAGAAGGUCGCGAUGGUUUUCUUGGAAACACAAUAGACAGCAUAUUCUGGCAGGUGAGUAAGAAUUUUUUGAAAGACUACCUUGACAGUAAACAUGCUUCUGGAACUAAUGUUUGACUCUGAAUUCUUGAGCUUCUGUUCAGCCUGCGAAGAUCUCUUCCGGGCUCAGGUGACAUACGUUGCUUGAACUGGGAGUCUAAGUUAAGCUCCAUGCUAGGUCCUCUGGACAAAGAAUCAAAACUAUAAUCUUUUAAUGUUUGGAGGAGUCAACUAUAUCCCUAUUUGUUCACAUAUAAAAAAUAGCUUUACAUUUUGGGAAAAUGAGAUUCCUCCAUCUCAGAUUCACAAAAAUCUUUUUCCUGGGGACACUUAGAAAGGACUUGUUGGUCCUACCUGAGCCCAGUUCUGUUCCUGGCUCUAGGAGAUCCUUGCCUGGAGGAUGGCAUGUUUGCCUUGUAUGUUUGCAUCUUGUCAGACCUCUUAAUAGAACAGAAUGGUUUCAUCUAAAUAUGUGUAUUUGAUGCUUCUCAAUUUGCUUCUGUUUCUAGCUUGUAAAAAUCUCUUAGAAAGUUCCAGAUAUCUACUUUUGAAUUAUUAAGGAGCUAUAAAUCAUUUUUAUAUUAACGCUUUAAUCUGAAAAUGUGACCAUUAUUUUGUGAUUAUGGAAUUGGGGGAAUGGCUCAUCAAUAAUUUUUUAAAAAUGAGUUAAAUAAUUCAUUAAGUUAAAUUGAAUUAUUGUCUAGACAUGUAAAACAUCAUUCAAACACAGUGUGCUUUCUUUCAUUUGUAUUUUUUUCCUUAACCAAGGAUACUUCUCCAGUCUAGAUAAGGACUGCACUUGGCAUGUAUCUCUCUCCUUAUGCUGCUACCCCUCUUGCCUAUAACCAACAAGUCCUUACUUAGUAAGAACCUGUUCCUUGCCCCGUAGUCUUAACAGUCACUGUGGGUUUUUCAAAAGACAUUGAAGACACAGUCCUGGAUUUUUAAGAAUUUGGUUGGGGAAACACAGUGAAAAGAGAGAAAACAAAGAAGUGAUUAAUUGGUGAGAUGGCUACUCGAUUGUAAUCUCCUUGCAGCCGGACUUCCUUGUUGUGGCGCCCUCAGCACCUAGCCCAUUGUACUGCAUAGACUUGUGGCUGUGACUUUCUGGCUCCUUCUCGCCCAGCUCAGAGUGUGAGGACUAGCAAAGGAGAAAGACCAGCCAUCCACUCUUGAUAGUCAGCCUCCUUUGCUACCCACCCCCCAUCUACCCAUUCAGUGACAGUGUGAGAAAACUGUCCUCAGAACAUCCAGAGCAUCUGGUCCUUCUUGGAAAAAAAAAAAAAAAA
rnacentral:lncRNA from 1 species